rnacentral:rRNA from 1 species
GACGAAGGUGGCAAGCGUUGUUCGGAAUCACUGGGCAUAAAGAGCACGUAGGCGGCUAAGUUAGUCGGAUGUGAAAUACCUCGGCUCAACCGAGGAACUGCGUCCGAUACUGCUUGGCUUGAGGUCCGGAGGGGAGAGUGGAAUUCCCGGUGGAGCGGUGAAAUGCGUAGAGAUCGGGAAGAACGCCGGCGGCGAAAGCGACUCUCUGGUCGGAAUCUGACGCUGAGGUGCGAAAGCUAGGGGAGCAAACAGG